rnacentral:misc_RNA from 1 species
GUAAUUUCCCCCUUUUUCCCUCCUGUUUAUGUAAUUUGUUUUUCAUUUCUUGGUUGCAUAUUUAAUUUGGUUUUCACUGUGGAAUUUUUCGUUUUGGACUUUUUAAUUGAUAUAUUUAGCUAGGUUUUUAUGUAGCAUUAGCCUCUUGAUAUUCUUUUUAAUUUUUCAGCUUGGAUGUGAUGUGGUGUCAUUUGUUGUAUUUAUCAGUGAUUGAUGUGUACAGCUUGUUCUGAUUGAUUUGAAAAUUUUCUUUUAUGUUCAUUGAAAAUGUUAAUGCCGGGAUAUUGGCUUGGUGUAAAAUGCUAGUUUUUUUUAAUAUUUAUUUUAAUUAUUUGUUGAUCUGGGAUAAAUGAUUCAUGCAAGACUAUCCCAUUUUGAUUGUCUUCUUUUUGAACAUGUAUUUUGAAAUUGUUUGCUCUUAGAAGAGAGAUGUGGAUAUUUGGAAUGAGCUAAUUUUUUGAGAUUGGUGCAGGAAAGACUACGUUUGUGAAGAGG